GGUACUUUACUUUAUCCAGAAGAUUUAGUUUGCAGCUAAAAAGUGAGAUCUAUUUCCCUCAAGUACCA
rnacentral:tRNA from 1 species